GGGAGUUUGGCCGAGUGGUUUAAGGCGUCAGAUUUAGGUUCUGCUUAAACAUUCUGAUAUCUUCGGAUGCGUGGGUUCGAAUCCCAUAGCUCUCA
rnacentral:tRNA from 1 species